rnacentral:tRNA from 1 species
GCCUGGCUGGCUCAGUCAGAAGAGUGUGGGAUUCUUGAUCUUGGGUCAUGAGUUCAAGCCCCGUGCUGGGUG